CCUACGGGAGGCAGCAGUGAGGAAUAUUGGUCAAUGGACGAGAGUCUGAACCAGCCAAGUAGCGUGAAGGAUGACUGCCCUAUGGGUUGUAAACUUCUUUUAUAUGGGAAUAAAACGUUCCACGUGUGGGAUUUUGUAUGUACCAUAUGAAUAAGGAUCGGCUAACUCCGUGCCAGCAGCCGCGGUAAUACGGAGGAUCCGAGCGUUAUCCGGAUUUAUUGGGUUUAAAGGGAGCGUAGGUGGUUUGUUAAGUCAGUUGUGAAAGUUUGCGGCUCAACCGUAACAUUGCAGUUGAAACUGGCAGUCUUGAGUACAGUAGAGGUGGGCGGAAUUCGUGGUGUAGCGGUGAAAUGCUUAGAUAUCACGAAGAACUCCGAUUGCGAAGGCAGUUCACUGGACUGCAACUGACACUGAGGCUCGAAAGUGUGGGUAUCAAACAGGAUUAGAUACCCGAGUAGUC
rnacentral:rRNA from 1 species